GAGAGCCAGCGCUCACAUUAUAUCUGUGCCUAAGCACACACACAGGGGGCAGAACCUGACAAAUGUGCGGGGUGAACUGGUUCCCCAAAGGGACUCUCCUGAGAAGCUGGCUCACAAAGUCCCGGCCCCGCCUCCUCCUGCUCAUCGCCGGGCUGAAGCGGCCGCAGGUCACGCUCAUGAGGAGGAAGAGGAUGAAACGCACAAAAGUAGCGAAGGCCACGUAAGGGAACCUCCAAUCGAAUGCCCCAUUUCAGCUGAGCCCACGGAGGAGUCACACUCCUGGCCAGAGCGAGGAACCAAAAGCCAGCGUGAACAGAAAAGGGACUCAACACUCAUUACAAAAGACAACUAGCCCCACAUACACAGCAAUAUGUACAUCAUCUCUUAAAUACACAUUUAUUUAUGAUUCCUUAUAUUACAGAGUGUGAUUGUAAGUUAUUUACAUUCAGUGCCAACAUUUAUCUGAAUAACAAUCAAUAGUCCUGUGAUCUCUGGAGAUUUCUUUUUGUGCUGGUUUGUUUAGAUUAACUGAGCUUCAGGGAGUAAGAGAGUGCUAAAAUCAAUUUCCCCGACUGGAUUAUUAGCCUAACCAUUUUGUGAAAAUGGCGAAGGCCAAUCGAGGAUCAUUUGGGGUAAAGUACAUGGAUCUACAUAUCCAGCAGUAACUGUGGAUUGUUAGCAGUGUCGAGCCAAUAAGCAAAGCACACACUUCGCCAAUCCAAAAUCAUAGCAGAACCACAGUAGGAAACUAAAAUAAGCAUCUAGGUCUUGUAAAGACCAACAGCAACAACAGAUGCCAUUACCCAUCAGCCACCUGUUCAGGUUCUGUAGCCAAUCAGUGGCAUAAAACAAUGACAUAUUUUAAGCCACCAGCCACAUAUCAAUUCAUAAUUAUUUACUUUAUAUUAAUGAGCAUGUCCAAGAAGGAACAUUUUAAUGGUCAGAAAAUUAAGAUUAAUCAAAUAAUUCAAAGAAUAAGAAUCCUACCAAUCAUACAGUUAAGAGCUAAUGGUGUUUAAUGGAACAAGUCUACUCCCCUUCAAACGUGUUCCUCUGUUAGAGCUUAAGAUCUGUCUUUAUAUAUCUGGUGAAAAUGUCCAGUUUACGGAUUUUCUUUCUAUCAUUCCUCUGUUUGUAUUUUAUUUAAUUACAUCAGGGAAACAGUGACAGU